AGGAUUAUCUCCCUCUCUCUCACGCGAGCUCUGCCAUAACGCCGUCGCCGCUGCCUCCGAUUCCAGGCAGAUUCGGCGCUCCCCUUCACCGCCCCUCACCGGCUCAUCUCCCCCUCAUUGGUCUCCUUUGAUCCCAUCGUCACGGCGUCCUCCACACCUCGGCCAGCCCCCGAAGAAACCCUAGGCACCACGGGUCAUUCCCGCAGCUGCUGCGCUCGACCCAAUGUCCCCAAGUCUCCACGCGCGUGGCUGCUGAUUAGUCUUGAUUGUGCUGCUUCACGUCACCUACCUCGACUCUGAUGUUGAUAUGGUUCAGUAAGGCACUUCUACACACGUCUCCUCUGCUCCUACCCUCUAUGGUUCAGUAAGGCUAAUUCUUUGUAUAACAUUACGACAAUGAUUAACGCUAUCUUACUUUCCUGAUCUACCUUUGUGGGUGCUGGCUUGUACAGGCAGUCACGACACUGCAUGGUCUGUCACUCUGUGUUCCAUGUGCAGGGACAGGGAGGGGCGAGCAGGGGCUGCAGACCCCUGCUAGUCGCUCGACCCCCUCAAGAAAUUUCAGCAGGUAGUUAGAGCGUAUGUACAUGCUAAUGGCUAUCUAGUCGCAGCUAAUUACUUAUUAGGCUAUAUGUUACUCAACGAGCACCAAAUUAGAGAAUCCCAACCAGCAGGCACUAGCCCAUGAACGGUGAUGGUUGGCUUAUUGUGAUCAAAUCGUUCAAAUCGUGGCCUACGCAUAUGCAUGUUCUGCACGUUCAGCACCCGGUCGCCGUCAUCCUAGAUCAUAGCAACAGCUAUUGGUGGCGGUCUAGCGCUUGAACACUUGGUGGAGCAUCGCAACAUUGGUCUUAUCGAUAGUGUGUUUGCUGUGUGUCGUCGUCCAUGAUGCAUUAAUCCUCGGAGACUUUGAACCUGUCAGGACAACUCAUGCGACUCAAUUCUAAACUGAAGGACCAAUAUUUCCUGCAUAUUCAUAUUUGGGAGAAAGUUCAGGGUAUACAUAGCGAGCUACCUAUGCGGACAGAGUUCUGUGCUAUGGCUGGGACUGUUAAGUGUUCAAAUGAUGAUAUAUCCGAGCCCUUCAGAGGUGAUGACGUAUGUUGGACGAUGGAACGCUUAUUCUGUUCCACGGGUUGCUUUGACUUGGGUGUUCAGAGAAGUAAAACUUCAACUAAUGUGUUUAGCGAAGCACAAUAUUGUAUCUGAAGUGAAACCUUCUCUAUUAUAUGGAGGUGCAAGCA